rnacentral:rRNA from 1 species
GCACCAGACUCCUACGGGAGGCAGCAGUGGGGAAUAUUGCACAAUGGGGGGAACCCUGAUGCAGCGACGCCGCGUGGGCGAUGGAGCGCCUCGGCGCGUAAAGCCCUAUCAGCAGGGAAGAAGAUGACGGUACCUGACUAAGAAGCCCCGGCUAAAUACGUGCCAGCAGCCGCGGUAAUACGUAGGGGGCAAGCGUUAUCCGGAUUUACUGGGUGUAAAGGGAGCGUAGACAGCAUGGCAAGUCAGAUGUGAAAGCCCAGGGCUCAACCCCGGGACUGCAUUUGAAACUGUCAGGCUGGAGUGCAGGAGAGGUAAGUGGAAUUCCUAGUGUAGCGGUGAAAUGCGUAGAUAUUAGGAGGAACACCAGUGGCGAAGGCGGCUUACUGGACUGUAACUGACGUUGAGGCUCGAAAGCGUGGGGAGCAAACAGGAUUAGAUACCCGCGUA